rnacentral:misc_RNA from 1 species
AAAAAAAAUCAUAAUUAAUUUUAAUACUAUUGUAUAGAAGAGAUAAUUAUUUAUAUCAUUAUUAUUCUGCAUUGCAUUAGCUAUUGAGAAUUAGAAUAAUUCUAUUAUGUAAAAUUUUAAAAAAUUUUAUAUUAUAUUUUUAAGUUAUCAGACAUAAUACUGUUACAAUAUUUAGAGUUUGAAGGAUUUGCUAUUGACAUUUAUCGCCAGCCACCCAACAAAAAACAGAGCACUUCUUUCUGGAUUAACACAAGCUCCCUCAUCGAACUUCUCGCGGUCUCUAAGAACGUUGUACCCGUCUAAGCACCACCACCUGAUAGAACCUCCUUGUCCUAAAGAACAAUGCAAGAGCAACAAGAACCCCGAAGGAAGCAACAAAUGCCAUGAUCAGAAAAGAAAGCAAGAAGCAGUGAGUUCCAAAGCAUGUGUUAUCUUCACCUGUUGCUGCCUUAUCAUAAAUGUACCCAAUUACUCUUACAGAGAAAAUAUAUGAUCCAAGAGGACUUGCUAUGGCAAUGGUGUUGAAUAUAGUACCCAUAUGCCCAACACCAAAUAUCUCAGAAGUGAUUGUAGGCAUCAAUGACCACUGUGAACCAUAAGAAACCCCCACAAGGAAUGAACCCAGGUACAAACUUUUAGCAAAACCUAUGGCAAUAACCAUAUGGCCAAUGGCCAAGGUUGACAGAGUGACAACCAUGAAUAAUGGCCUUGCCCAGCCACCUCUGUGCAAGAAAAUAUCUGACACAAACCCAGCUCCAAAACGGCCGAGAAAAUUCCAUAUACUCCACAACGAAACCAAAGAAUUAGUUUCAAGGGUUGUGUAACCAAGGGAUUCUCCUACUUGACUGAUGUUAUUUACUGUUGCAAGUCCAGAUCCUAAUCCACAAAUUGAAGCAAUAAAUAACAACCAGAAGUUUACUGUUCGCAAGGCUUGCAAGAGAUUCAGGUCUUCUUCAUCUGAUGAACUUCUGUCAUCAGUAACAGCCUUAGCUUGACCCUCACCACUAGGCAGGGCAUGAUAAUCCGUAGGAUCCUCUGCUGUCGAAAACUCUGGCGUUGGUUUGUGACCCCUCUCUUCCAAUAAUGCUUGUGCAAAUCUAUCAGAAUUCUCCCUCUGAGCUCUGACUGCAACUUCAAGAGGACAGGCAACGAGAAACAGCAGGACAACAAAUGUAACGAUGCGUGACCAAAGCGGCAAAGUAAAGAUGUUUUCCAAAAGUAUGUUGAUUGUGAGAUAAGCAGCGACGAUCAGAGCAAUUGCUGAGAAAGCAUUUAAGUGCUUCUUGUCAUCUUUUGUGUUUGUGUCAUAGUUUCUUACCAAAUUCAUAAACAACAGAGAGACAGAUGUUGGUGUCAGUGCAAGUAGUAGAAUGUAAGCGCUUGGAUUGCCACUGCAUACUGUCUCGUAGAAUUGGAUUAGUAUUGCUCCACUCAAACCAAGAAAACCCUUCAUUAUGCCAACAAUAGUCCCACUAUAGGCACUGAAAUUAUGAACACCGCUCACGACGUUCGACGUGUUAAAGAACGUCUGCCCGUGAGCAGCCAUCCACAUAACCAGGCACAUAACCGGCACAGGGAGCCGGGGAAUCAACCCAACCACGGAAGCCCACAUCACGAAAUAUCCAAUGAACCACUGGAUCGCCCCGGCCGCAUGGACUACCCAUGGGCCGGUAAAGACUCCAAGACGGCAUGGGUUGCGGCGGAGGGUGACAGCAGAAUAGAGAAUGCCAGAGAGAACGCCGGCGUUGGCUCCGAUGUCCUUGAAGACAGAGACGGUGUCGAGUGUUGACUGGUCGUAACCUUGGGUAGACUUGAGGAGGGAAGAGUAGAUGCCAAAGGUGUAGGUUGCACCGCAACUACACUGGAUCCAUAUACUGGCAACUGUGGCCAUCCAUUUCGAUUUUAACAUCUCUUCCAUCUCUCAGUCCCUUAGGCGGUCUGGCUUAGCAUAGAUUCGUUACAGUGCGCUCUUAUUAUUAUUGUAGUUGGAGACACUCA